GCUGCGAAAUCCCGCUUUAGGCUUUUUCAUCUAGGCUUCCGAGCCUAUAAGAUUGACGUGUACAAUUUGAAUAUAUAGGCCAUAUGCAAACAUGGGCAUGCUGCGCGGUUUCUUUUAGUAAAUUUCAAACCAUAUGAAAAUCAUUUAAGUAGGCUACUUAAAGGUCUUUGAGAACACAACUUCAAGUAGCCUAUACUAGCACAUUUCCAGAUCCUUCUCUCAAGCAAGUUUAAUGGAUCAGAGAACGACCGGCCAUUUCGGAUGAACAAAUAAUGGGAAAAUGUGCAGUAGGUUAAUAUUUAGAGCACAAGGCUUGGUGAUGCAACGGACAUGAUUUUAUGAUAAACGCCAGCUCAAUCAAUCAAUGAAUGAAGGUACGAUCAGGUUUUAUAGCUUAUCAAUAAAGGGAUGGUCACCGAGCACUAUGGCACCCGAAUACAAUGCUGAAAUCGAAAGAAUUCAUGUCGAACACUGGGCCUACUGGUAGUCACCGGAGAAGACGGUCACAUUGCGGAAGAGAUGAGUGAAAGAAAAAUGUAUGUUAAUGUGGGCGAAAUGGCGGCCAAAGACACAGCGCUGAGGGGGGAGUUGAAGGACAGAUCACUAAUGGACGUGCGGUCAGUCCAGCUCUCCGUAGGCUCAUCAUGGUGAUCCCAGCAGCUGGUGCCUAUCAAACCAGGUGUGGAAUAUGCACCAGCGGGGGCUAAGCACUCGGAAAAUGAGCACCCUGUCAGCGGGAAAAUUAAACGUUUGAUGGAAAGGUGCCAAA